GGCUCCGUAGUUCAACUGGAUAGAAUAGCAGAUUUCGGCUCUGCUGGUUGGGGGUUCGAAUCCCUCCGGAGUCACAA
rnacentral:tRNA from 1 species